GCUCCGGUGGCCUAGUGGUUAGAGUUAACCGCCUCGAAUACGGUAGAUCGUGGGUUCGAAUCCCGGCUGAGUCA